AUUGAACGCUGGCGGCAGGCCUAACACAUGCAAGUCGAGCGGAUGAAGGGAGCUUGCUCCUGGAUUCAGCGGCGGACGGGUGAGUAAUGCCUAGGAAUCUGCCUGGUAGUGGGGGAUAACGUCCGGAAACGGGCGCUAAUACCGCAUACGUCCUGAGGGAGAAAGUGGGGGAUCUUCGGACCUCACGCUAUCAGAUGAGCCCAGGUCGGAUUAGCUAGUUGGUGGGGUAAAGGCCUACCAAGGCGACGAUCCGUAACUGGUCUGAGAGGAUGAUCAGUCACACUGGAACUGAGACACGGUCCAGACUCCUACGGGAGGCAGCAGUGGGGAAUAUUGGACAAUGGGCGAAAGCCUGAUCCAGCCAUGCCGCGUGUGUGAAGAAGGUCUUCGGAUUGUAAAGCACUUUAAGUUGGGAGGAAGGGCAGUAGGUUAAUACCUUGCUGUUUUGACGUUACCAACAGAAUAAGCACCGGCUAACUUCGUG
rnacentral:rRNA from 1 species